rnacentral:misc_RNA from 1 species
AAUGCAUUUGGUCGAACAGCACCGCCCUGCGCGUGGCGCUGCUCGCUUGGGGCGGUAGAUGUGCCGUCGCGCGGUUCUCUCUCGCCCUGCGACCUGCGAGUGGCGGGGCCUGGACAGAUCUUUCGACCGACGGAGAAAUCGCUGAGGCUUCAAAUUUGGAACCGGGCACGUGGUACGAAAUACGUAUCCUGGCGCAUUCCCCCGCCGGCGACACUCCUGCACUUUAUAAGGCAGCGACGCAUACAAUGAAUGGAG